UACGGAGGGUGCAAGCGUUAUCCGGAUUUACUGGGUUUAAAGGGUGCGUAGGUGGGUUGGUAAGUCAGUGGUGAAAUACUUUCGCUUAACGAAGGAACUGCCAUUGAUACUACCAGUCUUGAAUACAGUGGAGGUAGGCGGAAUGCGUCAUGUAGCGGUGAAAUGCUUAGAUAUGACGCAGAACACCAAUUGCGAAGGCAGCUUGCUACACUGUUAUUGACACUGAGGCACGAAAGCGUAGGGAUCAAACAGG
rnacentral:rRNA from 1 species